UACGGGGGGGGCAAGCGUUGUUCGGAAUUACUGGGCGUAAAGGGCGCGUAGGUGGUUUGCUAAGUUGGAUGUGAAAACUCUGGGCUUAACCCAGAGCCUGCAUUCAAAACUGACAAGCUAGAGUUCUGGAGGGGGAAGCGGAAUUCCUGGUGUAGCGGUGAAAUGCGUAGAUAUCAGGAGGAACACCGGUGGCGAAGGCGGCUUCCUGGACAGAAACUGACACUGAUGCGCGAAAGCUAGGGGAGCAAACAGG
rnacentral:rRNA from 1 species